UACGGGGGGAGCAAACGUUGUUCGGAUUUACUGGGCGUAAAGGGCGCGUAGGCGGCCACCGCAAGUCAGUUGUGAAAGCUCUGGGCUUAACCCAGAAAGGUCAGCUGAUACUGCGGGGCUAGAGUGCAGAAGGGGCAACUGGAAUUCUCGGUGUAGCGGUGAAAUGCGCAGAUAUCGAGAGGAACACCUGCGGCGAAGGCGGGUUGCUGGGCUGACACUGACGCUGAUGCGCGAAAGCUAGGGGAGCGAACGGG
rnacentral:rRNA from 1 species